ensembl:lncRNA
GUCUGCUCCCUUGGGAAGGGCAGUCCUCCCAGCUCCGCAGGCGGCUGGCGAGGGGCGUGCUCCCACCUUUGCUCAGAAGAGCAGUCAUGGAGGGAGGUGGGCUAAGAUUUCGGAACUGCUGACUUUCUCGGAACCGUUGCUCAGCGGUCCCUUUGGAGACUCUCUUUCAUUUCCUCCUGGCUUCUUUCAGCCUAGGCCUCCCGCCCCCCGCCCCCGCCCCCGCCCCUGCCUCUCCGGGUUCCUCUAUUCUUUUGACAACUGGGAAAGCGGAAAGAGGAUGGUUGGAGACACUUCACAGUGUCUGAGGCGCGGCUGGAGGCCCGCUGGAGCGCACGGAGGACGCGGCGGAUGGGUGGGGGCGAUGGGGCUGGAGCCACCCGGGCACUUUCCUGGGGUGUCCUUCCCAGCAGCCAGGAUCGGACCCACGACGAGGACAAUUAGGAAGAAACCGCGGAUGCAGAGGACGUGGAAGACCUCGUCACAAAUCGAUUCUCCAAAGGUCUGAAAGUGCAGACGUUUGCCGGGACUGUGCAUCUCAAAGCUGGCCGUCACACAUCUCCGUCCGAAAGGGCUUGCAAAGCUCGGCACGCUCGGCGGAGAGCAAGCUUGCAGUAUUUCACCCCGUGUUAGAGAAGGGAUCGAAGUCGCAAAGCUGACGGCUUGGAUGCAGCUUGACAGAGGAGUCUCCGUGUGUAUAAGAUGACAGGGUUGAAGAGUGCUCUUUGGUGACUACAAUCUGCAUGAUGAUUUGGGAGAACUGGACUUAACGCGCAUGCAAUACACUUCACGGAGUUGGUUACCGCUUCCUCUUCUGUUUCUGGAUCUCUGCGGGCAGAGAGUGCAACAAUCACCAGAGAAUUAGUAUCCAGCUUAUCCUUUUCUUUUUUUAUUGUGGAUUCUGAAGCAGCAAAUAUUCAGCGACAGGUAAAACGUAAUAAAGAAUGUAGCUGUUGUAGUCGCUAAGUAGUGUCCGACUGGUUUGUGACCCUCCAUGGACUGUAGCCCCCCAGGCUCCUUCAUCCAUGGGAUUUCGCAGGCAAGAAUACUGGAGUGGGUUGCCAGUUCCUCCUCCAGGGGAUCUUCCCAAACCUGCAUCUCUCCUGAAUUGCAGGCAGAUUCUUUACUGCUCAGCCACCCAUAAAGAAUACUAGGG